AGUCGGGGAGUGGCAUUUACAUCCCAGAAAGACACACAUGUAUCACCUCGUGUUGGCACUUCCAUUGCAAUGCACAACUCUGACAUAUAUAGUGCCGACAUUUCCUUCCUUAAGCUUGAAAAAAGGUGAUUUGAUGUCCAUAAAAAAUUAACUGAGCAGUUAGAUAUUUUCUAAUACGUAUCUCACGUAAUUUGAUGCUCAUUGAUACUGCAUUACUGUGUCAGGAACGUGUUGAUGUAAAAUCUUUCAGUUUUGAUGGAUCUUAUUACAAGCUUUCAACUCUUCUUAGCACGACUUCUGACAGAACAAAGUCAUCACAAUCUGGACAAGAAUGAUGACCAUCAAAAUAACAAACAUGUGAUCAUCCAUGAGAAUCCAUCUGUUCAAGAGUCACAUCUUCAAGAAUCUACUGUAGAAACUCAACAGUUAGUGUUUGUAAACUUACUGGUAUAGAAGUAGAUACGAUGGAUAAUGUAUUUGUAAACUGAGAAAGGUGUUAUGUAUAUAUAUAUAUCUUGACUGUCUGGUGUGUUGUUAUAGUAUCAACUGAUUUUGUGAUAGAUUGAAUAGAUUGAACGUAAGUGUGUUAAGUUGGAUUGAUGA